rnacentral:rRNA from 1 species
AUACGGAGGAUGCAAGCGUUAUCCGGAUUUAUUGGGUUUAAAGGGAGCGUAGGUGGGAUAUUAAGUCAGCUGUGAAAGUUUGGGGCUCAACCUUAAAAUUGCAGUUGAUACUGGUUUCCUUGAGUACGGUACAGGUGGGCGGAAUUCGUGGUGUAGCGGUGAAAUGCUUAGAUAUCACGAAGAACUCCGAUCGCGAAGGCAGCUCACCGGGCCGGAACUGACACUGAUGCUCGGAAGUGCGGGUAUCAAACAGGAUUAGAUACCCUGGUAGUCCGCACAGUAAACGAUGAAUACUCGCUGUUUGCGAUACACGGUAAGCGGCCAAGCGAAAGCGUUAAGUAUUCCACCUGGGGAGUACGCCGGCAACGGUGAAACUCAAAUGAAUUGGCGGGG